GUAAUACGUUUGCUUUGUUUUAAGACACUGAGUGUGUGGUAAUUUGUUACAGCAAUGAUAACAAACUCAUACAGAAAGGACAGCUGUGUUAUGUUGAUAGACGUUAGAAGACGGGGGAGAGGGGCGAGCAGAUUGGAGGCUUCUGCAAUAGCUCAGAAGUGACAGUUAUGUCUAGGAAAAGUACAAGGACAGCAGUAAUGGGAGAAGACUGUAAAUGCAAAACUGUUUCUGAAAAUGGACAAAAGUUGGUGAUUUAUUUGAUGUUGGGCAAUUGGAGAAUUCACUGGAGUAAGAAAAUCAAAGAUAAAGGUAUCGAUUUCUGGCUGGGGCAAAUAGGCAAAUGGGAAUUCAUUUACUAUGCAAGAAAAGCAGCCACUGUUAAUUUUGAAAUCAUCUGUUUUCUGAAGAGGGCUAUAUGCCAUUGGCCAGCUGGGCAAAACCAAGAAAUACUCUUCAGGACAGGGUGCUCAAGGUUGAUAACAAGCAGGUUUGGAUGUAGAGGAAUAGCAAAGUCACAGACCUUGAAGUGACAGACACCAUGGAGCUGAAGCAACUAUCAAACUCUAAAGGGUUUAGUUCCUGCACAUCUUGAUGAAAGGCUUAAGGCAAAAACAAACAAACAAACAAAAAACAAAACA